rnacentral:rRNA from 1 species
CGGGUCUAGUGGCGCACGGGUGCGUAACGCGUGGGAAUCUGCCCCUCGGUUCGGAAUAACAGUUAGAAAUGACUGCUAAUACCGGAUAAUGACGUAAGUCCAAAGAUUUAUCGCCGAGGGAUGAGCCCGCGUAAGAUUAGCUAGUUGGUGGGGUAAAGGCCUACCAAGGCUACGAUCUUUAGCUGGUCUGAGAGGAUGAUCAGCCACACUGGGACUGAGACACGGCCCAG